rnacentral:rRNA from 1 species
UUCCGUAGGUGAACCUGCGGAGGGAUCAUUACCGAGUUUACAACUCCCAAACCCUUAUGUGAACCUACCUAUCGUUGCUUCGGCGGACUCGCCCCAGCCGGACGCGGACUGGACCAGCGGCCGCCGGGGACCAUCAAACUCUUGUAUUAUCAGCAUCUUCUGAAUACGCCGCAAGGCAAAACAAUAAAUUAAAACUUUCAACAACGGAUCUCUUGGCUCUGGCAUCGUGAAGAACGCAGCGAAAUGCGAUAAGUAAUGUGAAUUGCAGAAUCCAGUGAAUCAUCGAAUCUUUGAACGCACAUUGCGCCCGCCAGCAUUUGGCGGGCAUGCUUGUUCGAGCGUCAUUUCAACCCUCGACCUCCCUUUGGGGAAGUCGGCGUUGGGGACCGGCAGCACACCGCCGGCCCUGAAAUGGAGUGGCGGCCCGUCCGCGGCGACCUCUGCGUAGUAAACCAACUCGCACCGGAACCCCGACGUGCCACGCCGUAAAACACCCAACUUCUGAACUUGACCUCGAAUCAGGUUGAGCUACCCGCUGAACUUAAGCAUAUCAAUAAGCGGAGGA